GGACCAUCAUGUCGGUCGUGCCUCGGUACGUACUGGUAUUGUUGGUUUCUCCCUUCUGACGAACCAUGAUGUCAUUUAUUUGGUGUUGUGGGAAAUCAGGACUGUUACUUUGAAAAAAUUAGAGUGUUUAAAGCAGGCUAACGCCUGAAUACAUUAGCAUGGAAUAAUGAAAUAGGACGUUCGAUCCUAUUUUGUUGGUUUCUAGGAUUGACGUA
rnacentral:rRNA from 1 species